GACGAACGCUGGCGGCGUGCUUAACACAUGCAAGUCGAACGGUGAAGGGACCAGCUUGCUGGUUCUGGAUGAGUGGCGAACGGGUGAGUAACACGUGAGUAACCUGCCCCCUUCUUCUGGAUAACCGCAUGAAAGUGUGGCUAAUACGGGAUAUUCUGGGUCUGUCGCAUGGCGGGCCCGGGAAAGAUAUUGCUUCGGUGGGGGAUGGGCUCGCGGCCUAUCAGCUUGUUGGUGGGGUGAUGGCCUACCAAGGCGGUGACGGGUAGCCGGCCUGAGAGGGUGGACGGUCACACUGGGACUGAGGCACGGCCCAGACUCCUACGGGAGGCAGCAGUGGGGAAUAUUGCACAAUGGGCGCAAGCCUGAUGCAGCGACGCCGCGUGAGGGAUGGAGGCCUUCGGGUUGUAAACCUCUUUCGCCAGUGAAGCAGGCCUGCUCCUUGUGGGUGGGUUGACGGUAGCUGGAUAAGAAGCGCCGGCUAACUACGUG
rnacentral:rRNA from 1 species